ensembl:lncRNA
CAAACGUUUUACAAAGAUUUAUUUUAAUUCUUAUGAGUGGAUGGUUCAUUCCUGCCUUCGCUAACGAAAGUUACUUGCACAGUUUGAUAAUGUACUUGGUUAGUUUGCCUACCUCACGGCAGCCUCAUUGUCGCUAGCUUUUGGGCUAAUUUAUAUUCGGUUUAAGACAAGUGAUGCUAUAGGUCUGUGAACGGUAACAGCACCCCUCACGACCGACGCUGCACCCACUGCCAUAGCCCCCAGGACCGGGUCAGGAUGUGACAACAUCCACUGCCAUAGCCCCCAGGACCGGGUCAGGAUGUGACAACACCCACUGCCAUACCCCUCAGGACUGGGCCAGGAUGUGACAACACCCACUGCCAUACCCCUCAGGACUGGGCCAAGAUGUGACAACACCCACUGCCAUAGCCCUCAGGACUGGGCCAGGAUGUGACAACACCCACUGCCAUAGCCCUCAGGACUGGGCCAGGAUGUGACAACACCCACUGCCAUAGCCCCCAGGACCGGGCCAGGAUGUGACAACACCCACUGCCAUAGCCCCCAGGACUGGGCCAGGAUGUGACAUCUACUGCCAUAGCCCUCAGGACUGGGCCAGGAUGUGACAACAUCCACUGCCAUAGCCCUCAGGACUGGGCCAAGAUGUGACAACACCCACUGCCACAGCCCUCAGGACUGGGCCAGGAUGUGACAACACCCACUGCCACAGCCCCCAGGACUGGGCCAGGAUGUCACAACACCCACUGCCAUAGCCCUCAGGACAGGGCCGGGAUGUGACAACAGCACUUAAUGGCUACCAAGAGUAAACCAUGGGUUUUCCUAAUCAGUGUCCAGAUUUAGUAUUAACAUUUUCAUUUUUUGUUUCAAUUACAGUGAUUAACAAUUGUAAUUGCACCAAUCUAUAAGCCACCAUUUAAAAUACAUUAAUUAUUGCAAUUUUCCUGGAAAAUGCACAGAAAAUACUAUUCUGAUAUUGUGGAGAAAUCCUGAACUUGUACGUAAAGCAACAGAUCACUGAAAUGAGGAUGAAUAACAUUUUAAUGGCAAUCAAUACAUACAAAAAACAUUAAGAAAUAAAAUAGGUGGUUUAAAAAAAAAAUAGGGGGGUUGUCAAUUUUAACACUAAAAGCAUGAUACAUCGGUAACACAGUGAAUGCUUAGCUAACAGGCACAACUCAGCUGUAAAUAAAUUCCAUGUAAUUAAAUAGUGGUUUAAAAGAAAUAGGGGGCUAACAGGCACAACUCAGCUGUAAACAUGUUCACAUGUAGCUCACCAGAUUGGUAGUGCUCACAAUUAUUAAUACUCAACCAUGCAUUGAAGAGGAACAAUUUCUCACUUAAAAAAUGCAACAUAACAUUAACGUAACAUGUAGGUCUAACUGUGUAAGGAAUGCACUCAAAAACACCAUUAGUUACAAUAUACCGUAAAGUGACCAAAUUGGCUUAUAGGAACACCAGUGGUUUACAAAAAAGACUUAACUUAAUUGACUUUUAAAAUAAAAUAUGUAAUACAAUAAAUAUAUACUGGACAACAUAACUGCAACAAUAUGCAAAAUGUAUAGAUUUGUAUGCAAGUGUACCCUUUAAGCCCACCUAAACUCUAAUGUGCUAUUUACAAAGAAAUGAAACUUUUUCAUUUCUUACAGUCAAUACAUUUGGCUCCAUAGAUGCCUCAUCAUACAACUAUUUAUCCCACUGGUAACAUAUAUUAUACUUAAUGCGUUAAUAUUUUGCCCUUCUCUAUUUGCCUUCAUUGCAUGUUUAGAAUUGAGAUUUCUACUGUAUUUGCCUUCAUUGCACAUCUAUACAUCCCACUUGUAACAUACAUUAUACUUAAUACUUGUACAUAUUCUGCCCUCUUCUAUUUGCACUUCUGGUUAGAUGCUAACUGCAUUUCAUUGUACUGUACUUGUUCAAUGACAGUAACGUUGAAUCUAAUCUAAGUUAAUCUUUAUGGUAUCAACCACCUGUUCUGCUUCUUCGACCUCUAACUCCAUCUCACCUUUCAGAAGAUUAGGAUUAAUAACCUCACAAGCACAUAGCUUUUCUGUUAGUAUUCUCUUAUCUACUUUAAGUGUCUGGUCAUCUGGCAUAUGGAAAGCCAGUGUCACAUGGUCCCAAACAAAAAACUGACCUGAUCCCAUUCGUCUUGUUUCAACUGUACCGUCGUCAUUGAUGAUCAGCUCAUGACAAUGGGUUUCACAUAUUGCCUCUGCAUGCCAAACAAUCUGGCCGUUUCUAUAAGCACAUAUUCCCUCAUUAUCCUCAACAGGAAGACGUGGAUACCCAUCAAACUCCUCCACCUCUGCACUAUGGACAACCACUGAGUACAUGAUCUCCUGUUUGUAAACUGUGGUUUUAUAGAUUCUUAGGACAGGCAUCGUUCCUCCACAGAUCUGC